rnacentral:lncRNA from 1 species
CACAUUAAAAUUAUUAAAAAUAAUAUAUUAAAAAAAAUUAAUACAUUAGAAAUUAAUACAUUAAAAAUUAAUUUCGGGUGAAACCUCACAAGGGUAUCCCACAACUAAAGUGGAAUACCUAGCCAAUAACCUUUUCCUGGGAUAUGCGAACCUUUACGAAACUCAAAAAAAAAAAGAAACAUGUCAGAACACCAAAUCAGGGUGCAAUCGAAGAUUACACCGGAGAAAUAUCACAACAAUAAAUAGGAUAGGAUGAAUAAUGCAUGGCUAUGAUAAAACAUAAAAAAAACAGAAUAG